rnacentral:rRNA from 1 species
UACCUGGUUGAUCCUGCCAGUAGUCAUAUGCUUGUCUUAAAGAUUAAGCCAUGCAUGUCUAAGUAUAAGCAUUUAUACCGCGAGACUGCGAACGGCUCAUUAAAACAGUUAUGGUUUAUUUGAUGGUUCCUUUGCUACUUGGAUAACCGUAGUAAUUCUAGAGCUAAUACAUGCACGAAGGGGCGACUUACGAAGCCCUGUAUUUAUUAGAUUAAAGCCAACCGCCUCCGGGUGCUCGUGGUGAAUCAUAGUAACUAAUCGGAUCGCCGGCUCAAUGCCAGCGACGUGUCAUUCAAAUUUCUGCCCUAUCAGCUUUAGAUGGUAGGAUAUGGGCCUACCAUGGCGGUGACGGGUAACGGAGAAUUAGGGUUCGAUUCCGGAGAGGGAGCCUGAGAAACGGCUACCACUUCUAAGGAAGGCAGCAGGCGCGCAAAUUACCCAAUCCUGACUCAGGGAGGUAGUGACAAGAAAUAACAAUAAACCGGCUUAUGCCGGUUUAAUUGGAAUGAGUACAAUUUAAACAUCUUAACGAGGAACAAUUGGAGGGCAAGUCUGGUGCCAGCAGCCGCGGUAAUUCCAGCUCCAAUAGC